GUGCCAGCCGCCGCGGUAAUACGUAUGGUGCAAGCGUGAUCCGGAUUUACUGGGUGUAAAGGGUGCGUAGGUGGCAAGGCAAGUCAGAUGUGAAAACUCAGGGCUCAACCCUGAGACUGCAUUUGAAACUGUCUAGCUAGAGUACAGGAGAGGAAAGUGGGAAUUCCUAGUGUAGCGGUGAAAUGCGUAGAUAUUAGGAGGAACACCAGUGGCGAAGGCGGCUUUCUGGACUGGUAACUGACACUGAGGCACGAAAGCGUGGGGAGCAAACAGGAUUAGAUACCCUGGGUAGUCCACGCCGUAAACGAUGAAUACUAGGUGUUGGGGGAUUAAACCCUCGGUGCCGUCGCAAACGCAUUAAGUAUUCCACCUGGGGAGUACGUUCGCAAGAAUAAAACUCAAAGGAAUUGACGGGGACCCGGCACAAGCGGUGGAGCAUGUGGUUUAAUUCGAAGCAAGCGAAGAACCUUACCAGGUCUUGACAUCGACAUGACAGUCUUUUAAUCAAGAAUUUUCCUUCGGGACAUGUUAGACAGGUGGUGCAUGGUUGUCGUCAGCUCGUGUCGUGAGAUGUUGGGUUGAGUCCCGCAACGAGCGCAACCCCUAUUUUCAGUAGCCAGCAGUUCGGCUGGGCCACUCUGGAAAGACUGCCCGGGAUAACCCGGGAGGAAGGCGGGGAUGACGUCAAAUCAUCAUGCCCCUUACGAUCUGGGCUACACACGUGCUACAAUGGCGGUGACAAAGGGAAGCAGAGCAGUGAUGCCGAGCAAACCUCAAAAAAGCCGUCUCAGUUCGGAUUGUAGUCUGCAACUCGACUACAUGAAGCUGGAAUCGCUAGUAAUCGCGAAUCAGAACGUCGCGGUGAAUACGUUCCCGGGUCUUGUACACUCCGCCCGU
rnacentral:rRNA from 1 species